rnacentral:lncRNA from 1 species
AGAGCUUCGAGGGUGAGUCAGGCGGGAGCACGGUGGCGCCUAACCCGUUCGCUGCCACUGGGUCUCCCUAAGGCGGUUUGCCUUUGCCUGUGCACCCCAAGACCAGGCUCUUUCCCGGCUGCCCUUGGGCUUGGCUCAAUUUUGGAUCCCAAGGCCCUCCUCAUCCCAUAAGAAGCAAGUCUACAGCUUGGAGCAGGAAUCCAGGCCACCCAAAGUGCAGACCGGGGGAAUCCCGAGAAGGGUAGGAUACCUCUGUUGGCAAGCAUCCCUGCCAGGCAAGGAAGCAUCGGGGCAGGCUGACAAUCUUUGGUGCUACUUGAACCUCUGCUAGGGCCAAACUCUGAGGCCAAAGCUGUCCCCUCCAAAGGGGCAGGCGCAGGGCUUGGAGGAGGGUGGGAACCAAGCUGCCCAGACGUGUGCUUCUCCUGCCCGCUCUGAGUACCCCGGGUGCGCUCAGGCUGUGGGUGCCACAUGUGACUGUCCCACACCGAGAAGCCCAAAGACUGUCUGGCUCCAUCCUCAUCUUGUCAAAGGCACCUUCCAGCCACCCUGAUCUUGGUGGAGAAACUGACGCAAAGAGGAGUGAUGAAAGAUGUGGCCAUCUGGGCCCCAUUCUGGCUCCCUAGGAAGGUUACUACACCCUCCCUGCAGCCUUGGCGACCCCAGAUCAGGUGAGAGGAACUCUGGCCACCUCCUUCUUCAGUGGGGCCAAGCCUGAACCCAGGCGUCGGGGGAGAGGGUGUGUGAGAGAGAGAGAGUGUGUGUGUGUGUGUGUGUGUGUGUGUGUGUGUGUGCGCGC